GAAAUGCGAUAAGUAAUGUGAAUUGCAGAAUUCAGUGAAUCAUCGAAUCUUUGAACGCACAUUGCGCCCGCCAGUAUUCUGGCGGGCAUGCCUGUUCGAGCGUCAUUUCAACCAUCAAGCCCCGGGCUUGUGUUGGGGACCUGCGGCUGCCGUAGGCCCUGAAAAGCAGUGGCGGGCUCGCUGUCACACCGAGCGUAGUAGCAUACAUCUCGCUCUGGGCGUGCUGCGGGUUCCGGCCGUUAAACCACCUUCGUAACCCAAGGUUGACCUCGGAUCAGGUAGGAAUACCCGCUGAACUUAAGC
rnacentral:misc_RNA from 1 species